CCACUGCGUUGGUGUAGAUGAGAUUGAGCUCGAGCUAGCUCGAAUAAAGGCUCUUUGCUUUUGCAUCGGUGUUGGCUCCUUGGUGGUCUUCUGGGAUUUGCGACUUUGGGCACAACAUUUGGGGGCUCAUCUGGGAUCCCAGAGACCCCCACGACCCCCGACCCAGAGAGCCCUGUGCCGGCUGGUUAAAGAUAUCAGGGGAAGAGCUAACAACCUCAGUGUGGAAGUCCAGAAGGGUCGGUGGCAGACUUUUUGUUCUAGUGAGUAGCCAGUUUUCAAUGUUGGAUGGCUGCCAGAGGGAACCUUAUCUAUGUCUCAGUCUGUAUGUUUGUGUGUCUAAGUAUGUAAAUGAAAAUAUCUUUCAACCUCUGGAUGGUAUUAAUGAAAUUGAUUUAAAGACAAGCGCUUGUGAAAAUUGGGCAUUCUAAAACUUCCAGAAAAUCUGAUAAAAAAUGUUAAGCAUUAAUGCUAAUUUGGGUUUGGCUGAGGCGUGCAUGUCCUUAUAGUUAUCAGCUGCCAAAGUUUACUUAAAGUCAUUUAAGUUGAUGUUACCUGUUCAACAUUUCAAGAAGAUGCUUAAAGAAAAGCUUGACUUUGUCUAAUGUUUAGUAAAAGUUUUCUAAGUAAUCUAGCAUGGUUGCUAAAAAUAAGUAAACAAGUAUAGCAAAUAAACAUCUUAAAAAUAAUACUGUAUUAAUGUAUAACAGUGUAUAUAUAUGCAAACAGCCUGAGAAUUUUUGUGGUAACCAAAAUUUUUAAAGUUUGCUAAGUUAUAUAGACAUAUUUUGUGCCUAAUGAGAAAUUGUGUUGUAAAGCACAUUUCCAAAAAUGAUAAUAUAUGUUCAUAGAUGUAUCAAUCUGAAGAAUGCUAGUGCAACAGUUUACAGUGGCCUUUUUUUCAGUGUUCACUGAAAGUUAAAGUAUCAAAUGAUUUUAAGUUCUAAUGAAAACUACUUAAAUAAGGAAAACAUUUCUCUAUGCUAAAAGAUGUAUGUUUUAAUAAGAGAAAGUAUAAAGAAUGAAAACUCGUCUGCAUGCUAAAGAAUGUGUUUUUUGAUAAAAGAAAUAACUUUGUUCUAAAGUACAGCUAUUUAUUUAAAGGGGGACAGAGACAGAGAGAGAGAGCAGUGUGGUGCAGCAGCGUGGUGCCUUUUGUUGUGGUGGAUCCGCUCAACCUGUUGCUUUGGGGGAGGGUCAGAAUGUUUAGAGAUAAGGUGGGAUAAACCCAGGCAAGCCCAGGCAUAAUUCUCACCAGCUUAUGUGCUUGGGACCAUGGGGCAAAUGAAGAAUAAAUUACUAUAUUCUUACAGAUAUAGUCGUGCUAUGUGAAAUUAAAGCAAGUGAGUCUUGAUAUCAAGUGCACAGCAAAAUUAGAAUUUUGUUUCCAGUUAAAAA